rnacentral:tRNA from 1 species
GCCCGGGUGGCUUAGUCGGUUGAGCAUUGGACUCUUGAUUUCUGCUGGGGUUAUGAGCUCAGGGUCGUGGGAUCGAGCCCCACCUCAGGCU